rnacentral:tRNA from 1 species
GCCGGGGUAGUUUAGCUCGGUAGAACGCCAGGCUCAUGACCUGGAGAUCCCGGGUUCAAAUCCCGGCCCCGGCA